AUAUUCAUUUGACGUUAGCUGCAGAAGAAGCACCGGCUAACUCCGUGCCAGCAGCCGCGGUAAUACGGAGGGGUGCGAGCGUUAAUCGGAAUUACUGGGCGUAAAGCGCAUGCAGGUGGUUUGUUAAGUCAGAUGUGAAAGCCCCGGGGGCCUCAACCCGUACGGAAUUAGCAUUUUAGAAACUGGCAAACUAGAGUACUGUAGAGGGGGGUAGGAAUUUCAGGUGUAGCGGUGAAAUGCGUAGAGAUCUGAAGGAAUACCGGUGGCGAAGGCGGCCCCCUGGACAGAUACUGACACUCAGAUGCGAAAGCGUGGGGAGCAAACAGGAUUAGAUACCCCUGGUAG
rnacentral:rRNA from 1 species